rnacentral:rRNA from 1 species
UAGGGAAUCUUCCACAAUGGACGCAAGUCUGAUGGAGCAACGCCGCGUGAGUGAAGAAGGUUUUCGGACCGUAAAGCUCUGUUGUUGGUGAAGAAGGAUAGAGGUAGUAACUGGCCUUUAUUUGACGGUAAUCAACCAGAAAGUCACGGCUAACUACGGUGCCAGCAGCCGCGGUAAUACGUAGGUGGCAAGCGUUGUCCGGAUUUAUUGGGCGUAAAGCGAGCGCAGGCGGAAGAAUAAGUCUGAUGUGAAAGCCCUCGGCUUAACCGAGGAAUUGCAUCGGAAACUGUUUUCUUGAGUGCAGAAGAGGAGAGUAGAACUCCAUGUGUAGCGGUGGAAUGCGUAGAUAUAUGGAAGAAUACCAGUGGCGAAGGCGGCUCUCUGGUCUGCAACUGACGCUGAGGCUCGAAAGCAUGGGUAGCGAACAGGAUUAGAUACCC